CCUACGGGGGGCAGCAGUAGGGAAUAUUGCUCAAUGGGGGAAACUCUGAAGCAGCAACGCCGCGUGGAGGAGGAAGGUUUUCGGAUUGUAAACCUCUUUUGUUAGAGAAGAAAAAGACGGUAUGUAACGAAUAAGCACCGGCUAAUUCCGUGCCAGCAGCCGCGGUAAUACGGAGGGUGCAAGCGUUACUCGGAAUGACUGGGCGUAAAGCGCGCGUAGGCGGGAUAGCAAGUCAGAUGUGAAAUCCUAUGGCUUAACCAGAGAACUGCAGUUGAAACUGUUAGUCUAGAGUAUGGGAGAGGUGGGUGGAAUUCGUGGUGUAGAGGUGAAAUGCGUAGAUAUCAAGAGGAAUACUCAUUGCGAAGGCGGCCCUCUGGACUGUAACUGACGCUGAUGCGCGAAAGCGUGGGGAGCAAACAGGAUUAGAUACCCUAGUAGUC
rnacentral:rRNA from 1 species